GUCGAGCGGUAGCACAGAGAGCUUGCUCUCGGGUGACGAGCGGCGGACGGGUGAGUAAUGUCUGGGAAACUGCCUGAUGGAGGGGGAUAACUACUGGAAACGGUAGCUAAUACCGCAUAACGUCGCAAGACCAAAGUGGGGGACCUUCGGGCCUCAUGCCAUCAGAUGUGCCCAGAUGGGAUUAGCUAGUAGGUGGGGUAAUGGCUCACCUAGGCGACGAUCCCUAGCUGGUCUGAGAGGAUGACCAGCCACACUGGAACUGAGACACGGUCCAGACUCCUACGGGAGGCAGCAGUGGGGAAUAUUGCACAAUGGGCGCAAGCCUGAUGCAGCCAUGCCGCGUGUAUGAAGAAGGCCUUCGGGUUGUAAAGUACUUUCAGCGAGGAGGAAGGCAUUAAGGUUAAUAACCUUGGCGAUUGACGUUACUCGCAGAAGAAGCACCGGCUAACUCCGUGCCAGCAGC
rnacentral:rRNA from 1 species